GCACAAAAAACCCUCCGAGUGAUUUUAAUCUAGACAGACCAGUCAAAACAACUAUAAAUAUCACUUAUUGAUCCAAAAUUUUGAUCAACGGAACA
rnacentral:rRNA from 1 species